GUCUAUUUAAAAAAGAAGUGGGAAAGAGAUAGAAGAACAAACAGGAAGCCUAACAAUGGUCAUUGGAAAAUACAGCUUCAGAGGUAGAGAGCUUUCAUCCUCCAGUACCUGGGCUGAAUAUCAAUCUUGUACUCAGGAAAACCCAGCUUCCAUACCAGCCAGCACACAUCAGUCCCAAGAGGAUAUGGCCAACUGACUAUUAGAUAGCUGGAAUUGGCUGAGGAGACUUCAGUGGGAGAGAAUCACUGUUGUAGCAGCUCAAAGAAGAGGAAUUGAGCUGGGGCUUCCCACAAGGCUAAGUUGGAGUGGGUAAGUCUUAGGAGUGGAGUCCCUUCUACUGUGCAGGAGGACAUGUCAGACCUGUUCUGAGCAGGCUAAUUCGUGGGAUUGAAACCUUGAAAGAACAACAUCGUCAGAUGGAGUUUCCAGAGCUGCAGAUGAAGAAGCUGACCGUAGUUCUGGGAGAAGAGAUGUGGUCUGUCGGGGAGAGUACGGGGAGGAUGGAUGGACAUGCGUAGCAGGGAAGAAGAUCAGCACUGCUCCGAGUCCCGUCUUCGGCCGAGGGCGGUUGAGAAGGAACUUAGGAGGGUGCGGGACGCACGCGCUCAGGAAGAUUCCAACGAGACGGGAGAUACCAACUGAGUGUGUGCGUCCCGACCAGGCACUGCUACCGAAAAUUUCCGAUCAACGGCGCCGGGACGCACCGUCACCUACAGUGGAGCACCCACAGGGACAGCACUCGAAGAAGAAUUGGAAUUUUAUUCCACUCCACAUUCAGAUUAUUUGCCAUCCCCAGAAUUUGAGAUAUAUCUAUAACUACUUUGCUUUGUUUAAAAGAAGGGUAAAGUCAAUGGAGUUGUACAGGAGUAACUGAGAGGAAUUUGGCUUUAUUUUUUAAAUUUGCUUCAUGUGUGCAAAACAAGCUAGAACAGAAAAUAGAUUCCUUAUGUAUGUGAUUUCUUAUGUAUGUAAUUCCUUCAGUUCUGUGGUAAAACAGAGCCCUUAGAAAACCUAUACAAAUUCCAUUAUGUCCCCUUCCUCCCUAUCAACUAACAGCACGUUUCUCUUUUGUGUCUCACUUGGCUUUUGCAUCUUUCCUUGCAGCUGGCUAUGGAAUGCUGGUUUUGAAACACCACUGAAUCAUUACAGAUUUCACCCUUUCUCUAAAAGCUGGUUACAAUGUGUGAUGAGCCCUCAACACAAGAAUCAAACACUGAAACAUUUUGCACAGUGUGUUAAAUGGGUACACUUAUGAAGAUAGCUCCAGCAACUGCAAUUGCUUUUAGAUAUAGCCAUUUAAAUGUUCUCAGGCUAAAUUUGUCUAGAUGGCUGUGUAAUUUUAAUUUUAUGCUCACCAUAUUAUAGGGGCAAUAAUAAUCAAAUGAAAACUGUAAGUAUCUAGAAAAU